UUUAAGCAUAUCACUCAGUGGAGGAAGUGCAAGCAACCGCGAUUGCUUCAGUAACGGCGAGUGAAUGGGCAACACAAUCUCAGCCUGAAAGUGAAUCCCAGACUGCACUGUCUCACGGCAGUUGCGUCCGGCUCUCUUGGGUUCGAAUGCUGUGGGCUGUGGAGCAGGCGGUGAUGACUGAGUUGGUUGUGCACCAGGAAAGGCCCUGGAAGGGCUCACCAGAGUGGGAUACUGUCCUUUACAAACACCAGUGUGUGCAGCCAGCUUGGACGUUGCUGUCUGACUCAGGAGUAGAGUGGCUUGGGACUGCAGUUUGAAGUGCAAGGUAUAUCCCUUGCAAGGCAGCAUACUGACAUGGGACCGAUAGUGCACAAGUAGAGUGAUCGAAGGAUGCAAAGGACUCUGCAAAGAGGGUUAAAAGCCCCUGAAGCCUUGGCAGGAACGGCGGUGAGUGGUGCUGUGGCUUUCAACCUUCAGGGUGAACUGCCAGUCUGGGGUAAGCUGGGGCGCAAGGUUGCUGUACUCUCCCCACUCGGUGGAGAUUCAGUGGAUCUGCCACAGUGAAGCCUUGGGCUGUGUGGUCUGCCUUGCUGGUUGCUGUCCUCUGCCCUGGUGGUCAACCAGGGUCACGACAGGUGUCAACUGUGUGUGAACAACCAGGCGCCCUUGGGCCUGCCCAGGGCUGACUACUGAGCUCUGUCCUCCAGGAUGGGAUGCCUGUCGUAGCAGCCAAGUGGUGACAUCAAGCUGGACUGGGCCUGAGGGUUGACCUUGAAACCAGAGUUAUGCAGUAGCAGUGCUGGUGAUGAACACCUGGUGUGUCUCCGGACAUGCCAGUGGCUGUGUUGGGUUCCGGUUGGGGUUGGUGGCUGCAUGGUGGCUGCACCAUCUGAUGGUGGCCCCGUGUGGUUGCUGACUCUCCGGACCUGGCACGGUUGGAAGGCAGCUGAGCCUGGUACAAUCAGUGCCACUCUCUGCCCGUCUUGAAACACGGACCAAGGAGUCUACGGAGCUUGCAAACUUGCCAGUUUUAACCUUGAGCGUGUGGUGAAGGCAAGUACUCCACAUGGGUGUUCACGCACCCUGCAUGGGGCACCAGUCCCAAAGUCCAGUGGACAGGGUUCUGAGUGAUUGCAAGUUCCGUGGGACCCGAAAGGUGGUGAACUAUACCGUGCUAUGAUGAAGCCGUGGGAAACUGCGGUGGAGGUCAGUCGCUGUUCUGACGUGCAAAUUGUGUAGCCUGAGCGCGGCAUAGGGGUGAAAGGCCAAUCGAACCACCUAGUAGCUGGUUUCCCUCGAAGUUUCCCUCAGGAUAGCCGGGUUCGAAUGCAACACCACUGCAGUGGUUACGUCCGGUAAAGCAACGCAUGAGAGGCAUUGCGGGGAGCUUAUGCUCCUCGACCUAUCCUCGAACUGUGAAUGGGCGUGGUAACACGCAUUUCAAGCAUGCUUCUUCACUGAUGCUGGAGUCCAUGAUCGGAUGGUUCUCCUGGCUUCUGAGCGUGUUUGAAUGGUGGCAGCCCUGCUGUCACCCAGGUCUGGCUGUGAGGCACAGCUCUGGCCAAGCUGACUGCCAAUGAUCUUGACCCCGGGGAGUGUGGUGACUGAGACACCUUCAGGUUGGACUGGUGGAACCCGGUGUGGUGUGCAUCUCUGUGAGGCCACCCACCGUGGGAGUAGCCAGAGCUGACCAAGGAUAGUCCGGCCACAGCCAAGAGCUCCCUGGAAGAGUUGAGCUUGGUGGAAGGUGAAGCCGGACUGUGGGCGUCUUGCAGGGACCAACUCAACACCCUGUGCCAAAGGGUUGCUGCUGGUGGAACAAACGUGCCCAUGUGGACCAUUACUGGUAAGCAGUGCUGGUGAUGCGGGAUGCUCCGAGAGUGGACUUGAAGGUCCAGAGUGCUGGCUCAUACCCAGAUCCCACAAAGGAUGUUGAUCGCUAGUGAUAGCAGGACGGUGGCCAUGAAGGUUGGAACCCGCUAAGGAGUGUGUAACAACUCACCUGCCGAAGCGUUCAGCUCCCAAAAUGGAUGGUGCCCAAGUCAGUGAAGCAGAACUCAUAGUCCACUGCCACUGUGGCAGCUUAGCAGAGCAUUGGCAUGUAGAAGGACACGGGAGACAGCAAUGCCAGCCGGGGUUGACCCCAGCCUGAGUGUCUUCUGGAGCAGAUCUUGGUUGCAGUAGCGAGUACUCCAUUGAGUGAAGAGUGGCCACAAUACCCACCACUGUGUGCGGUUGAGGACUGGAGUGGAGCAGGUUUCCGCACCAAACAGCCGUUGAAUGCGGGUCAGCCGGCCGUGAGCCAAGUGGUAAGUUCACUGAACAACCAAAGCUGCCAGUCACUGUGGGGUUGUGGACCAAGCUCAGGGCAAGCUCACUUGGUGCCAGUGGUUCAAGACCAGCACCAACCCAAGUGGUGGGCAAGUCCGGCUCAUGAAGGACACACCAAAGCUACUUCACUGGUCAAGUGUUGUAAGCUGUCCCAACCCUGGAGUGUACCAGGCAGGAGUGGCAAACAGGCAAGCAGUGCAACAUUCUGCUGUGAUGGGCUUGGAGCAUGCUGGUGGUAACACCAUCAGACUUGGGCAAGCAGGCUUUGGGGCAGUGCACCCCCUGAGGAGUUCUCGUUUCCUCCUGAUGAACGGCUCAACUGGGCUAUAGAUUGCAUGUCAAGGUGGUGAUGUAUGCCCUCUGCCCAGCAAGGCAGUGUGAUUCUCAGCACUGAUGGUAGACACAAACUCAAGUGCUGUGUGGCAAGGGGCAACAUCCUUGACUCAGCAAAGACCACUUGGUGGUCACUGGCUCCAAUGAAAGGCCUGUGGGACAUUAUGCUCCAACACCCUGGCUUUCGUACUGCAUCACCGCAGCCGGUCUCCUCGGUUGAACGCCGCUUGUCCACAGACUAAAUGCAGCUAAGGGAAGUCGGCAAACUAGCCAUGUACCUUCGGAAGAUGUGGUGGCUCCGGAGGCCAAGUCACAAGGCCCAGAGGUGGUCUUUGCGGUGUGGUGGAGGCUGCUUUGGUUGGUGGUUCACUCCAUCGACUGGGGCCAAUGUCUCUGCUGCCUGCUUAGUUCUGCCGCUGGGGGUGCUGCAGUCCUCGUGGCUGUGGUGCCCAUCCCUGUGUCUGAUCAGUGGUCCAUACGGAACUGUUGCUGCGCAGGGGAAUCUGACUGUUUAAUUGAAACCCAGCUUUGCGAAGGGAUCAGCUGGCUGGUUCCGUGAGGUGACUUCUGCCCAGUGCUCUGAUUGUCAAUGCGAAGAGAUUCAGCCAAGCGCGGGUAAACGGCGGGAGUAACUAUGACUCUCUUAAGGUAGCCAAAUGCCUCGUCAACCAAUUAUUGACGCGCAUGAAUGGAUCAACGAGAUUCCUGCUGUCCCUAGUUGCUGUCUGGUGAACCAAC
rnacentral:rRNA from 1 species